rnacentral:rRNA from 1 species
ACGGGUGAGUAAAGCCUAGGAAUCUGCCUGGUAGUGGGGGAUAACGUUCGGAAACGGACGCUAAUACCGCAUACGUCCUACGGGAGAAAGCAGGGGACCUUCGGGCCUUGCGCUAUCAGAUGAGCCUAGGUCGGAUUAGCUAGUUGGUGAGGUAAUGGCUCACCAAGGCGACGAUCCGUAACUGGUCUGAGAGGAUGAUCAGUCACACUGGAACUGAGACACGGUCCAGACUCCUACGGGAGGCAGCAGUGGGGAAUAUUGGACAAUGGGCGAAAGCCUGAUCCAGCCAUGCCGCGUGUGUGAAGAAGGUCUUCGGAUUGUAAAGCACUUUAAGUUGGGAGGAAGGGCAUUAACCUAAUACGUUAGUGUUUUGACGUUACCGACAGAAUAAGCACCGGCUAACUCUGUGCCAGCAGCCGCGGUAAUACAGAGGGUGCAAGCGUUAAUCGGAAUUACUG